UGGGGAAUAUUGGACAAUGGGGGGAACCCUGAUCCAGCCAUGCCGCGUGUGUGAAGAAGGCCUUAUGGUUGUAAAGCACUUUAAGCGAGGAGGAGGGUACUGGUAUUAAUACUACCAGGUACUGGACGUUACUCGCAGAAUAAGCACCGGCUAACUCUGUGCCAGCAGCCGCGGUAAUACAGAGGGUGCGAGCGUUAAUCGAAUUUACUGGGCGUAAAGCGUGCGUAGGCGGCUAAUUGAGUCGGAUGUGAAAUCCCCGAGCUUAACUUGGGAAUUGCAUUCGAUACUGGUUAGCUAGAGUGUGGGAGAGGAUGGUAGAAUACCAGGUGUAGCGGUGAAAUGCGUAGAGAUCUGGAGGAAUACCGAUGGCGAAGGCAGCCAUCUGGCCUAACACUGAUGCUGAGGUACGAAAGCAUGGGGAGCAAACAGG
rnacentral:rRNA from 1 species